CUUUGGAAAAAGUCCUUAUUUUGCAACUUUAAGAUUGCUUGGAAUAUAGUAAACUGUUAAUACAGCAUCGGCAAGUUCAGAUUUUGUAAAUUCAACUCCUUCAGGUAUUCUAAAGUGCAUGGCGAGGCACACGGUUGGCGGUACCAGGACACAGU